ensembl:misc_RNA Metazoa_SRP Metazoan signal recognition particle RNA
GUUGGGCAUGGUGGCGCGUGCCUGUAAUCCCAGCUACUGGGAGGCUGAGGCAGGAGAAUGGCUUGAACCAAGGAGGCGGAGGUUGCAGUGAGCUGAGAUGGUGCCACUGCACUCCAGCCUGGGUGACAGAGCGAGACUCUGUCUCAA